GUCCUGAUAGUGGUGUCCUUUCUCUGGGGUGUGCAGGGUUGAUUAAACGCUGUGAUUGAAAAGUGGUUCUUAUACUCGUUGACUACAUAUACUUCGGCCCCUGAUGAAGGGUAAUCCGAAACGCGUAGGGCCGUGUAUGUCUUCAUGGACCUUGCUUUUCAAUGACACCUAACCAUGUAUUGUUUUUAAAUAAUUCUAUGUGAUAUAUGUGUACAAUUUCCAUUUUUGAAUAUUAAAUUAUCUAUUUUUUGGAUUA